rnacentral:rRNA from 1 species
UAGGGAAUCUUCCGCAAUGGGCGAAAGCCUGACGGAGCAACGCCGCGUGAGUGAUGAAGGUUUUCGGAUCGUAAAGCUCUGUUGCCAGGGAAGAAUGCUUGGGAGAGUAACUGCUCUCAAGGUGACGGUACCUGAGAAGAAAGCCCCGGCUAACUACGUG